GUGUUAUGAGUUAAACUAAUCGUUUCAACAAUUAUAGUUAUGUGCACCGAUUGAUGUCUUGUUCUAUUUUAGCUUCGUACUUGGCCCAUCGACAAAUGGUAAAAACGCCGUCAAGCGUACCCGGCCAAUCCUCGGUGCCGCCAGAUACGUACACAGCGACUGUACCCGACGGCAUGAAUGAAUGGUGUAUUGCCAUUCAUUUGGUUUUGGAACGAGCAUUUGGUGUGCGGCGAUAUGUUUUGAAUCAGUUCAAACAUUAUAAAGGUUAGACGAGUGCUGGAUGACUUGGAAGUGAAUGACGACGAUGUGCGCACCAACUGCCAGGGAAUGGUUGAUGAUCCGGUGACAUUUUCAACAAAUUUUGGAAUUUUUAUGAAGUCGUCAAAUUACUUAUGUUACCACGGUUUAAUAGUUCGGGACCGGGUUAAACCAACCGUGGGAACCACUGCUCAGAACGGAGUCCGCCUCACCGUAUCGCCGUCGUCCGUAUGGCCUAAUGUCGCGCACUGCUAAGUACCCCAGCCAAGCAACUGGACAAAGAGAACACAAGCUUGUCAUGGUGGGACUGGACAACGCCGACAAGACGACCAUUCUGUACCAGUUUCUGAUGAACGAGGUGGUUCACACGAGCGAUCGGAUUGAACGUGGAAGAGGUACGCACGCAGUUUACCAGAUAACCAGUGGCCACUUCGUAAGCCGCUCACCGGUGACGGGUGUCCAUUUACCUCGUUUCUCAUUCAUUCGCCGUGCCGCGUAUUUUCGUAACGUGCACCACGCAGCUGUCAAAAGUUCAUAGUCACAACUGGUUGUUUGUUCUUUUAAUGCGCCUCGCAGAUCGUGUGGAAAAAUAUCCACUUUUUGGUGUUUGUAACCAAUAGAUUGUAAUGCAAUGCGUGCGU